rnacentral:rRNA from 1 species
UACGGGGGGGAGCAGUCGUUGUCGGAAUUACUGGGCGUAAAGGGCUCGUAGGUGGCCAACUAAGUCAGACGUGAAAUCCCUCGGCUUAACCGGGGAACUGCGUCUGAUACUGGAUGGCUUGAGAUUGGGAGAGGGAUGCGGAAUUCCAGGUGUAGCGGUGAAAUGCGUAGAUAUCUGGAGGAACACCGGUGGCGAAGGCGGCAUCCUGGACCGACACUGACACUGAGGAGCGAAAGCCAGGGGAGCAAACGGG